UAACGCGUGGGAACGUACCCUUCACUACGGAAUAGUCCCGGGAAACUGGGUUUAAUACCGUAUACGCCCUUCGGGGGAAAGAAUUUCGGUGAGGGAUCGGCCCGCGUUAGAUUAGUUAGUUGGUGGGGUAAUGGCCUACCAAGACUACGAUCUAUAGCUGGUUUGAGAGGAUGAUCAGCAACACUGGGACUGAGACACGGCCCAGACUCCUACGGGAGGCAGCAGUGGGGAAUCUUAGACAAUGGGGGCAACCCUGAUCUAGCGAUGCCGCGUGAGUGAUGAAGGCCUUAGGGUCGUAAAGCUCUUUCGCCUGUGAUGAUAAUGACAGUAGCAGGUAAAGAAACCCCGGCUAACUCCGUGCCAGCAGCCGCGGUAAUACGGAGGGGGUUAGCGUUGUUCGGAAUUACUGGGCGUAAAGCGCACGUAGGCGGAUUAGUCAGUCAGAGGUGAAAUCCCAGGGCUCAACCCUGGAACUGCCUUUGAUACUGCUAGUCUUGAGUUCGAGAGAGGUAAGUGGAAUUCCGAGUGUAGAGGUGAAAUUCGUAGAUAUUCGG
rnacentral:rRNA from 1 species